rnacentral:rRNA from 1 species
GCAGAACGCGAAGAACCUUACCAAGGCUUGACAUCCUCCUGCUGGGCUCGUAAUGGAGUCUUUCCCUUCGGGGACGGGAGAGACAGGUGGUGCAUGGUUGUCGUCAGCUCGUGUCGUGAGAUGUUGGGUUAAGUCCCGCAACGAGCGCAACCCUUAUCUUUAGUAGCCAGCGAGUAAAGUCGGGCACUCUAGAGAGACUGCCGGGGUUAACCCGGAGGAAGGUGGGGAUGACGUCAAAUCAUCAUGCCCCUUAUGUCUUGGGCUACACACGUGCUACAAUGGCUGCGACAAAGGGAAGCGAAGGGGUGACCUGGAGCGAAACCCAAAAAGCAGUCCCAGUUCGGAUUGUAGUCUGCAACUCGACUACAUGAAGUCGGAAUCGCUAGUAAUCGCAGAUCAGCAUUGCUGCGGUGAAUACGUUCCCGGGUCUUGUACACACCG